GCUUCGAAUGUUUUACAUCUGUAGGCUUCGACUGUUGGUUCUUCAUUGUUCACCGACUUCCUUGCCUUCUUCUUUUUCAUUGCUCUGAUCUUCCUCCGAUCUUCCAAGCUGCUCACUUUCCGACUCCCUUGGGUUCUAUCAAGAAGGGGAUUGAAUCUCACAUAUUAGCUUAGCAACUAAAUAACCAAGGAGGUUUUAGGUCAUUAAACACCGGUGAAAACUUGAAACAUGUUGGUCCAAUUUUAUCAACUGGAAGCUCUGAUGGCUACGUAAUUGGAGGGGAAGAGGAUGAAAGUAUUUCAGAAACAGGGGAACCAGUAACUAAAGUUUCAAUUCCUGGUCUACCAGAUGAAUCCAAAGGCGAAUUGGAUGUGCCAGUAAGUAGUUGCUUUUGGGAAUGGAAGCCCAAAUUCAACGUGCAUUAUGAAAAAGUUGGAUGUGAAACCUUAGGCUUCCCUCCAAUGCGGUUAUUGCCUGGUUUUUGGGUUGGUUCCUUUCACUAUGAAAAGCAACUGAAGGAUUUGGGGUGUGAUUUUAAAGUAUGAGCUAACCAGCUAAAUGGAUGUUUUCAGAUAUUUAUGAUGACCUAUACUGGGUCCGUUGCAGUAAUUGAGAUUUGAGUGCCUAGGUCGAAGCAGCUGAAUUUGAGUCAUUAAUUUUUCAGAUUGGUGUAUACUAUGCUACUCCACAAGUGACAUCUGGAGGAAUUGCAUUAAAAUUCUUUGCCACAGUUCGGAGAGAAAUAUGUUCUACAAGGAAGAUAAAGUCUGUAAAUGGAGAUGAACAAAUUGGGGUUCGGAUUUGUCUAAGAGUGCAAAAAAGUGAGUUUUUGCAAGAUGGUAAUAGUGUAUGAGAGCAUCAAGAGGAGGCUGUGAAUAGAAGGCAGUUCUUUGCAGGCUAGACAAGAACCAGCAAAAGUACUUUCUGGACUCGCUCCACUUGAAGCAGUGCUAUUUGAUAUUGAUAGAACUCUGUGUGAUUUAGAUCUCAUUCAUUUCAAUGCCUUCCACAAAAUGCUUAAUAGUGUACAAGAGAAUCAAGAAGAGGCUAUGAGUAGAAGGAGGUUCUUUGCAGGCUAGACAAGAACCAGCAAAAGUACUUUCUGGACUCGCUCCACUUGAAGCAGUGCUAUUUGAUAUUGAUAGAACUCUGUGUGAUUUAGAUCUCAUUCAUUUCAAUGCCUUCCACAAAAUGCUUAAUAGUGUACAAGAGAAACAAGAAGAGGCUAUGAGUAGAAGGAGGUUCUUUGCAGGCUAGACAAGGUUGAAAAAGAGUUAAAACCCUGCAGAAGACGAGGAAAAAUAGAAACCACUUCUACAGUAGAGCCAACAAGAGACAGAUUCCUAGAUAGAUCCCCUUUCAACAGACAUCAAGGCAGAAAAAGCCGCUUCCCCCACCAAUAGCAUAUAUGUAAAGACAUGUCCAAACUCUUUUGAACAAGGAGCACCUCCAUUGUUGAUAUUUUGAUUGCUACUUGGUUUAAUAAAAUAUAAUCAAUAUUUUAAUA